AUACGGAGGAUCCGAGCGUUAUCCGGAUUUAUUGGGUUUAAAGGGUGCGCAGGCGGCCAUUUAAGUCAGCGGUUAAAUCGUGGGGCUCAACCCCAUUCUGCCGUUGAUACUGGGUGGCUUGAUUGCGGUCGAGGUCGGCGGAAUUCGUUGUGUAGCGGGGAAAUGCAUAGAUAUGACGAAGAACACCGAUUGCGUAGGCAGCUGACCAGACCGCAAAUGACGCUCAUGCACGUAAGUGCGGGGAUCGAACAGGAUUAGAUACCCUGGUAGUCCGCACAGUAAACGAUGAAUACUUGUUUUCGGCGAUAUAAUGUCGGAGGCAAAGCGAAAGCGAUAAGUAUUCCACCUGGGGAGUACGCCGGCAACGGUGAAACUCAAAUGAAUUGACGGGG
rnacentral:rRNA from 1 species